CAACUCUAUCGUUCCCUUUGGUCGUUAGUCUCCUUUGUCACUUGCUUUGUUUGAAGUGCGAGGUAGAAUGGUCCUUAUAGGCGAUCUGGCAGCCCUUGAGCCCUCGGCUCGUAUUGGGCGGUUUGCAGGUAUGCCACCCCACGACCAUGUAACACACACACGCACCCCACAUACAUUGAAAUGAUGGUGCACUCGCGGCGUCGGAUGCGGCACAUAGCUUCAAAAAUCCCCAUUGCAUCCCUUUUAAAACAGGUGGAGAGAAGCCUACUUACGGCGUGGCGGAGAACGAAGCUGUAGUGGAGCGUGAGAGAUUUCUGACAGUACUACACUUCCCCACGGAGUUAGCGCGCACCUGGCCUGGCAGCUUGCAAGCCCACCAGUUGGCCCCACAGCCGUUCGGGCACAGUGUUGGAGGUUACAUUUCGUGGCUUGGCAAAUCCGGAUGAGCGCAUCGGUACGAUUGCACAAGAGGGGAAUUGGCUGACUGAGGCCCCAGGGCGUCGUUCAGGUUUGAUAUCGUGCGGCACGGCGUGGCCCAGCUAUACAGCCAAGCGCAACGGCUGACCCGAAUCCCGUUGAUGCCUGAUGGUUGUAAGUCGGGCGAGCCACCCCCUUGAUUUACUACAGUCUUUGUCUCGGGAAAAUCAGAAAUCUAAGCCGAAACGGGUCCGGAGACCGCGAUAGCGAGGUGUGACCUGGCGAGCCGUGCGCUCACCAGCAGGUGCCGAACCACCUUUCCAUGUCUACUUGCGAGCGCUCCUGCAACCCGCUUGAAGAUACAGGUUUCGAACGAGCGUUCGGGGGCGACCGGGACCCACGUAAGGACUGGCAGAUCCCUUUUUAACCUUGACCACUGAAGCAAGAGGAUGGGAAUAAUUGGUGUGGCAUGGUUGAAGUGGCUGGGUAUCCUUCACCCAUGCCCUCUGGCCCUCGCUAAAAAAAC
rnacentral:lncRNA from 1 species